rnacentral:rRNA from 1 species
GGGUUGUGAGGUUAAGCGACUAAGCGUACACGGUGGAUGCCCUGGCAGUCAGAGGCGAUGAAGGACGUGCUAAUCUGCGAAAAGCGUCGGUAAGGUGAUAUGAACCGUUAUAGCCGGCGAUGUCCGAAUGGGGAAACCCAGUGCAAUUCGUUGCACUAUCGUUUGAUGAAUACAUAGUCAAACGAGGCGAACCGGGGGAACUGAAACAUCUAAGUACCCCGAGGAAAAGAAAUCAACCGAGAUUCCCCCAGUAGCGGCGAGCGAACGGGGAGCAGCCCGGAGUCUGAAUCAGCUUGUGUGUUAGUGGAAGCGUCUGGAAAGUCGCAGGGUACAGGGUGAUACUCCCGUACACUAAAGCACACAGGCUGUGAACUCGAAGAGUAGGGCGGGACACGUGGUAUCCUGUCUGAAUAUGGGGGGACCAUCCUCCAAGGCUAAAUACUCCUGACUGACCGAUAGUGAACCAGUACCGUGAGGGAAAGGCGAAAAGAACCCCGGCGAGGGGAGUGAAAAAGAACCUGAAACCGUGUACGUACAAGCAGUAGGAGCCUCUUUAUGGGGUGACUGCGUACCUUUUGUAUAAUGGGUCAGCGACUUAUAUUCUGUAGCAAGGUUAACCGUAUAGGGGAGCCGCAGGGAAACCGAGUCUUAACUGGGCGUUAAGUUGCAGGGUAUAGACCCGAAACCCGGUGAUCUAGCCAUGGGCAGGUUGAAGGUUGGGUAACACUAACUGGAGGACCGAACCGACUAAUGUUGAAAAAUUAGCGGAUGACUUGUGGCUGGGGGUGAAAGGCCAAUCAAACCGGGAGAUAGCUGGUUCUCCCCGAAAGCUAUUUAGGUAGCGCCUCGUGAAUUCAUCUUCGGGGGUAGAGCACUGUUUCGGCUAGGGGGUCAUCCCGACUUACCAACCCGAUGCAAACUACGAAUACCGAAGAAUGUUAUCACGGGAGACACACGGCGGGUGCUAACGUCCGUCGUGAAGAGGGAAACAACCCAGACCGCCAGCUAAGGUCCCAAAGUCAUGGUUAAGUGGGAAACGAUGUGGGAAGGCCCAGACAGCCAGGAUGUUGGCUUAGAAGCAGCCAUCAUUUAAAGAAAGCGUAAUAGCUCACUGGUCGAGUCGGCCUGCGCGGAAGAUGUAACGGGGCUAAACCAUGCACCGAAGCUGCGGCAGCGACACUAUGUGUUGUUGGGUAGGGGAGCGUUCUGUAAGCCGUCGAAGGUGGCCUGUGAGGGUUGCUGGAGGUAUCAGAAGUGCGAAUGCUGACAUAAGUAACGAUAAUGCGGGUGAAAAACCCGCACGCCGGAAGACCAAGGGUUCCUGUCCAACGUUAAUCGGGGCAGGGUGAGUCGACCCCUAAGGCGAGGCCGAAAGGCGUAGUCGAUGGGAAACAGGUUAAUAUUCCUGUACUCGGUGUUACUGCGAAGGGGGGACGGAGAAGGCUAUGUUGGCCGGGCGACGGUUGUCCCGGUUUAAGCAUGUAGGCGGAUGUUCCAGGUAAAUCCGGAACGUUAUCAACGCUGAGGUGUGAUGACGAGGCACUACGGUGCUGAAGUGACAAAUGCCCUGCUUCCAGGAAAAGCCUCUAAGCAUCAGGUAACAUCAAAUCGUACCCCAAACCGACACAGGUGGUCAGGUAGAGAAUACCAAGGCGCUUGAGAGAACUCGGGUGAAGGAACUAGGCAAAAUGGUGCCGUAACUUCGGGAGAAGGCACGCUGAUAGGUAGGUGAAGUGGUUUACCCAUGGAGCUGAAAUCAGUCGAAGAUACCAGCUGGCUGCAACUGUUUAUUAAAAACACAGCACUGUGCAAACACGAAAGUGGACGUAUACGGUGUGACGCCUGCCCGGUGCCGGAAGGUUAAUUGAUGGGGUUAUCCGUAAGGAGAAGCUCUUGAUCGAAGCCCCGGUAAACGGCGGCCGUAACUAUAACGGUCCUAAGGUAGCGAAAUUCCUUGUCGGGUAAGUUCCGACCUGCACGAAUGGCGUAAUGAUGGCCAGGCUGUCUCCACCCGAGACUCAGUGAAAUUGAACUCGCUGUGAAGAUGCAGUGUACCCGCGGCAAGACGGAAAGACCCCGUGAACCUUUACUAUAGCUUGACACUGAACACUGGUCCUUGAUGUGUAGGAUAGGUGGGAGGCUUUGAAGUGUGGACGCCAGUCUGCAUGGAGCCAUCCUUGAAAUACCACCCUUUAAUGGCUGGUGUUCUAACGUGGGCCCGUUAUCCGGGUUGCGGACAGUGUCUGGUGGGUAGUUUGACUGGGGCGGUCUCCUCCUAAAGAGUAACGGAGGAGCACGAAGGUCAGCUAAUCCUGGUCGGACAUCAGGAGGUUAGUGCAAUGGCAUAAGCUGGCUUGACUGCGAGCGUGACGGCGCGAGCAGGUGCGAAAGCAGGUCAUAGUGAUCCGGUGGUUCUGAAUGGAAGGGCCAUCGCUCAACGGAUAAAAGGUACUCCGGGGAUAACAGGCUGAUACCGCCCAAGAGUUCAUAUCGACGGCGGUGUUUGGCACCUCGAUGUCGGCUCAUCACAUCCUGGGGCUGAAGUAGGUCCCAAGGGUAUGGCUGUUCGCCAUUUAAAGUGGUACGCGAGCUGGGUUUAGAACGUCGUGAGACAGUUCGGUCCCUAUCUGCCGUGGGCGCUGGAGAAUUGAGGGGGGCUGCUCCUAGUACGAGAGGACCGGAGUGGACGCAUCACUGGUGUUCGGGUUGUCAUGCCAAUGGCAUUGCCCGGUAGCUAAAUGCGGAAGAGAUAAGUGCUGAAAGCAUCUAAGCACGAAACUUGCCCCGAGAUGAGUUCUCCCUGACUCCUUGAGAGUCCUGAAGGAACGUUGAAGACGACGACGUUGAUAGGCCGGGUGUGUAAGCGCAGCGAUGCGUUGAGCUAACCGGUACUAAUGAACCGUGAGGCUUAACCUUACAACGCCAAAG